UGGCGGUAGGCUAGGCCUGUCCACCAAGCAUGUUUUGUCAGUUGACAGAGUUUGAAGGUUCUACCAAGGAUGUCAAGUGUGGAGCACAUACAGGAUGCAGAGCACAGUGAUGACGUAUCACCAUGGCAACACGUAUCGCUCAAGAUCACUUGAAUGAGAUUGUACCUGACACCGUUAAUUGUAAAGAGCGCCACCUGUUGUUUGGUUAUCGAUCAACAUUAUGCAGCAGAUAAUGCAGCGGUAGGCUAUAUAGGCCUGUACGUCAGCUUUGAAAAUGGAGUUGAGGCCAGACAGACAGGGGGCAUAGGACUGCAUAUUUGCUC